AGCAGUCUUUGCUACUUAAGUAUUCAAAAUGUAACACUUCGCUUUGCCUUAUUUUAGAGUUGUCCAAGUCCACAGUCACUUAUGUUCUCAUUAGCAAAUUAUCUAAAAUUUUAAGUAUGUUGGAAAUGCCUCAGUUUUAUCAAUAUUCCAUUCUAAGGAGCCAGAUGAUGCUCAUGCAGGCUUUGCAGGUGAGGUUCUUUCUAUCUCUCUUUCUCAACUCAGAAGCAGUUUAGACCACAUCUAUUAGAAAAGGGACAGCACAAAAUAUAGAGGCUGCUGGUAAUUGCAGUAACUCAGACCUAUGACCUAAUAAGUAUUCACAGAAUACAUAUACAGACCAGAAUAUGAGGCCCACAAUACAUUUUCUAAGAGAGUACCUGAUAGUAGGCUGGAGGGGAAUUCUCUCAACUUCCACUUUCCAGGGAAUAGUUAAGUAUUUAUUAGGUCAGAGGAAGGAAAGAAGAGUAAUAUGAGAACACUAAGGGGCUAAGCCAUAGGCUUCUUGUGGAAGAGAGUACUUCUUUUCAAAUAUUUAAAUUUUGAAUUGGAAGAAAGUGCAGAAAGUGAUAUUUUUCUCUUUUCCCAGACGAGAAUCAUAAGAAAACAGUAAACUACAGUGACAUGUUCAUUCAUGUCUUUUUUUCUAGGGCAUGGUGAAUAUUUAAUACAUCUGCAAGGAUGGAUAUAAUUUCCACAACAGUGACUGAAAAGAAUCUUUUCCAUCUGAGUACCAUUGACAAAGUAAUUUGGAUGACAAAACAAGGGGGUCUCAGUGCCCUGACCUGGAGGACCAUGACUGCAAGAGUGAUCAACUCCCUGUUGACCCUGAGGCUGCUGCUCCCUACAGCUGCUGCUGAUCCAGCUAGAUCCCUACAUGUUGUGAGGUGCCUCAGGGAGGCAAAGAUUUAGUUUCAGAUAAGCAUUGUUAAAGUGAGACCCAUGGCUGUAAGCCCGGCUAGUGUGAAUUUUGACCUCCUGCUUUGGGGAUAGGCCAUGUGAGGCCUGGAUGAAGUUGUCCCACCCCAGAUCUCGUGGGGGGUGACCCAGGAGUUCUGAUUGGGUUUGAGCCCCUGGGGUUUCUCCCUUGUUGUGUUUCCAGUGGUCCCUGACCCUGAACCCCACCUUAGUUCUGUCCCUCAAAACCCCUCACCCUGCCUUUGGCUCUCUGAGUCUCUGGAUCUGAGUUUGUUCCCAUGCUGAAUAAAUGGUUUCAUGAACAGAA